AUUGAACGCUGGCGGCAUGCCUUACACAUGCAAGUCGAACGGUAACAGGUCUUCGGAUGCUGACGAGUGGCGAACGGGUGAGUAAUACAUCGGAACGUGCCCGAUCGUGGGGGAUAACGGAGCGAAAGCUUUGCUAAUACCGCAUACGAUCUAAGGAUGAAAGCAGGGGACCGCAAGGCCUUGCGCGGACGGAGCGGCCGAUGGAAGAUUAGGUAGUUGGUGGGAUAAAAGCUUACCAAGCCGACGAUCUGUAGCUGGUCUGAGAGGACGACCAGCCACACUGGGACUGAGACACGGCCCAGACUCCUACGGGAGGCAGCAGUGGGGAAUUUUGGACAAUGGGCGCAAGCCUGAUCCAGCCAUGCCGCGUGCAGGAUGAAGGCUUUCGGGUUGUAAACUGCUUUUGUACGGAACGAAAAGACUCUGGUUAAUACCUGGGGUCCAUGACGGUACCGUAAGAAUAAGCACCGGCUAACUACGUGCCAGCAGCCGCGGUAACAC
rnacentral:rRNA from 1 species